GAUGAACGCUGGCGGCGUGCCUAAUACAUGCAAGUCGAGCGAACAGACGAGGAGCUUGCUCCUCUGACGUUAGCGGCGGACGGGUGAGUAACACGUGGAUAACCUACCUAUAAGACUGGGAUAACUUCGGGAAACCGGAGCUAAUACCGGAUAAUAUAUUGAACCGCAUGGUUCAAUAGUGAAAGACGGUUUUGCUGUCACUUAUAGAUGGAUCCGCGCCGCAUUAGCUAGUUGGUAAGGUAACGGCUUACCAAGGCAACGAUGCGUAGCCGACCUGAGAGAGUGAUCGGCCACACUGGAACUGAAACACGGUCCAGACUCCUACGGGAGGCAGCAGUAGGGAAUCGUACGCAAUGGGCGAAAGCCUGACGGAGCAACGCCGCGUGAGUGAUGAAGGUCUUCGGAUCGUAAAACUCUGUUAUUAGGGAAGAACAAAUGUGUAAGUAACUAUGCACGUCUUGACGGUACCUAAUCAGAAAGCCACGGCUAACUACGUG
rnacentral:rRNA from 1 species